AUUCAUCUUUCAGAGUAUCAUUGGAGGGCAGUCUGGUGCCAGCAGCCGCGGUAAUUCCAGCUCCAAUAGCGUAUAUUAAAAUUGUUGCAGUUAAAAAGCUCGUAGUUGAAUUUCUGCUGCAUCGUCGCAUCUCUUGCUGAGUGCUUCGUUUCGGCUUAUUUCGGAUUGAUUUUUUCUUUCCGGAUGAUUACUUUGAGAAAAUUAGAGUGCUCAAAGCAGGCUUUUGCCUUGAAUAGUUUAGCAUGGAAUAAUAAAGUAGGACUUUGGUUCUAUUUUGUUGGUUUUAGGUACCAAAGUAAUGGUUAAUAGGAACAGUUGGGGGCAUUCGUAUUUAACUGUCAGAGGUGAAAUUCUUAGAUUUGUUAAAGACGAACUACUGCGAAAGCAUUUGCCAAGGAUGUUUUCAUUAAUCAAGAACGAAAGUUAGGGGAUCGAAGACGAUCAGAUACCGUCGUAGUCCU
rnacentral:rRNA from 1 species